rnacentral:rRNA from 1 species
AAAUUGAAGAGUUUGAUCAUGGCUCAGAUUGAACGCUGGCGGCAGGCCUAACACAUGCAAGUCGAACGGUAACAGGAAGCGCUUGCUGCUUCGCUGACGAGUGGCGGACGGGUGAGUAAUGUCUGGGAAACUGCCUGAUGGAGGGGGAUAACUACUGGAAACGGUAGCUAAUACCGCAUAACGUCGCAAGACCAAAGAGGGGGACCUUCGGGCCUCUUGCCAUCGGAUGUGCCCAGAUGGGAUUAGCUUGUUGGUGGGGUAACGGCUCACCAAGGCGACGAUCCCUAGCUGGUCUGAGAGGAUGACCAGCCACACUGGAACUGAGACACGGUCCAGACUCCUACGGGAGGCAGCAGUGGGGAAUAUUGCA